rnacentral:rRNA from 1 species
CCUACGGGGUGCAGCAGUAGGGAAUCUUCGGCAAUGGACGAAAGUCUGACCGAGCAACGCCGCGUGAGUGAAGAAGGUUUUCGGAUCGUAAAACUCUGUUGGUAGAGAAGAACUUUGGUGAGAGUGGAAAGCUCAUCAAGUGACGGUAACUACCCAGAAAUGGACGGCUAACUACGUGCCAGCAGCCGCGGUAAUACGUAGGUUCCGAGCGUUGUCCGGAUUUAUUGGGCGUAAAGCGAGCGCAGGUGGUUUAUUAAGUCUGGUGUAAAAGGCAGUGGCUAAACCAUUGUAUGCAUUGGAAACUGGUAGACUUGAGUGUGUGAGAGGAUAGUGGAAUUCCAGGUGUAGGAGUGAAAUCCGUAGAUAUCUGGAGGAACAUCAGUGGCGAAGGCGACUAUCUGGCACAUAACUGACGCUGAGGAGCGAAAGCGUGGGUAGCAAACAGGAUUAGAUACCCUAGUAGUC